AAGGCCAUUAUGAACUUUACCCUGGUUUAAGGUGGAAUCACUCCAACAGCAUUAUGAACUUUACCCUGGUUUAAGGUGGAAUCACUCCAAGGCCCUUAUGAACUUUACCCUGAUUUAAGGUGGAAUCACUCCAAGGCCAUUAUGAACUUUACCCUGGUUUAAGGUGGAAUCACUCCAACAGCAUUAUGAACUUUACCCUGGUUUAAGGUGGAAUCACUCCAAGGCCAUUAUGAACUUUACCCUGGUUUAAGGUGGAAUCACUCCAAGGCCAUUAUGAACUUUACCCUGGUUUAAGGUGGAAUCACUCCAAGGCCAUUAUGAACUUUACCCUGGUUUAAGGUGGAAUCACUCCAACAGCAUUAUGAACUUUACCCUGGUUUAAGGUGGAAUCACUCCAACAGCAUUAUGAACUUUACCCUGGUUUAAGGUGGAAUCACUCCAACGCCAUUAUGAACUUUAUCCUGGUUUAAGGUGGAAUCACUCCAAGGCCAUUAUGAACUUUACCCUGGUUUAAGGUGGAAUCACUCCAACAGCAGUAUGAACUUUACCCUGGUUUAAGGUGGAACCACUCCAACAGCAGUAUGAACUUUACCCUGGUUUAAGGUGGAAUCACUCCAAGGCCAUUAUGAACUUUACCCUGGUUUAAGGUGGAAUCACUCCAACAGCAUUAUGAACUUUACCCUGGUUUAAGGUGGAAUCACUCCAAGGCCCUUAUGAACUUUACCCUGGUUUAAGGUGGAAUCACUCCAAGGCCCUUAUGAACUUUACCCUGGUUUAAGGUGGAAUCACUCCAAGGCCAUUAUGAACUUUACCCUGGUUUAAGGUGGAAUCACUCCAACAGCAUUAUGAACUUUACCCUGGUUUAAGGUGGAAUCACUCCAAGGCCCUUAUGAACUUUACCCUGGUUUAAGGUGGAAUCACUCCAACAGCAUUAUGAACUUUACCCUGGUUUAAGGUGGAACCACUCCAACAGCAGUAUGAACUUUACCCUGGUUUAAGGUGGAAUCACUCCAAGGCCAUUAUGAACUUUACCCUGGUUUAAGGUGGAAUCACUCCAACAGCAUUAUGAACUUUACCCUGGUUUAAGGUGGAAUCACUCCAAGGCCCUUAUGAACUUUACCCUGGUUUAAGGUGGAAUCACUCCAAGGCCCUUAUGAACUUUACCCUGAUUUAAGGUGGAAUCACUCCAACAGCAUUAUGAACUUUACCCUGGUUUAAGGUGGAAUCACUCCAAGGCCCUUAUGAACUUUACCCUGAUUUAAGGUGGAAUCACUCCAACAGCAUUAUGAACUUUACCCUGGUUUAAGGUGGAAUCACUCCAACAGCAUUAUGAA